rfam:Erinaceus europaeus unplaced genomic scaffold scaffold00996, whole genome shotgun sequence
CUGCAGCCAAUUAAGCCAACCGUGCUUCCCUCCCCAUGGGGCCCUCUGUGCAGUGGCUACAAAUAGCACCCUCCUGGGCCGUGUCUGCAGCCUGUUCCUUAUACAGGUUGUCCUACAGGAUCCUGGAGCCAGCC